GGGUCAGGUAGUCCGGUUCUCAUUGUCUCGUGCUUCUCUUGAAUCGAAAACAUCAAUUUGUAUUCAUCUCAUAUUUGUAUAUUACAUGCUUCGUUUCAGUUUUAGGAGAACAGUGUAUACAUAAUUGGCAAAUUGAUUUUGCCACAAAGCUUUAAAGAUUCUCAGGCUAAUUUCUACAGGUGUGUCAGAUGUGAUUUAAAGUCUCGAGCAGUUUUUAGCUCCCACCAGCUCCACAAAACAGCUUCAAGCAGCAGGCAGUCGAACGCUUCAAGAAACCGCUGUUCACGUACGGAAGUGAUCCGUACAAUCUGAAGGUGGAGCUCAAUAAGUUCUUCGAGGAAGUCAGGAGCUGGUGGAGAAUCAUCCGCCAGCAGAGAGUGGUGGUCCAUGAUCCAGUCUUUAAGUUCAGACCCAUCCGCUGCGGAAAACCUUGGCAGCGUAACUCCAAACUGUACAUUUUUAUCUUUGGUUUAAUUUUAAAGCUGUGUCACUGAGCUCAUCUAAAAGUUUUUUUAGGGGAAGCAGCUUGCUCCAGUCUUCAAGGCGGUCUCACCUAUGAGGACAUACAGGUGGGAUUUUAAACAUUGUUGUUAUGCAGCACAUUUUAAACUAUAAUGAAUGAAUGCAUGAAUAAUUUUAAUUUUAAACUGAUUUCUGUAAUUUGAUCAGCCAGCAUGAGUAAUUAAUCAUAUCCACUGAGGAUGCUUACUGACAUUUGUGCUGCUGUUUUCCCUCCAAAAUGAUGUCACUUACUGUAGGGUGAUGAUGUCAUUUUAGGAAUGUCUUUUGUUAGUUAAAAGAAAUUUAAAAAGGCUAACAAGAUGGAAAGUGAUAUUUGGGAACCAGACAAACUCAAACCCCGUGACCCGCAGCAGCUCUCCUAUAAUCACAUUAUGAAUCAUAAGCUGAUUUUGUGCGUCUGAAGAACACAUGCUGAGAGUUGAAAUGUAUUAGCACAAUAUUAGAAUGCAAUAAUAGUCAAUGCACGCACAUACUGUAGAUGAUUUACCUCAUUUAAAAUCUGUGCGCUUUAAUGUGUGUGAUUUACAGCUUCACACAAUACAUGCGUUUAAAUUGAAUAGAGUUUUAAUAUAAAAUAGUCCUUUAGUUUUUCUCUUAAAUAAAUAAAUAAUAGUAUAGAAAGUUUAUAAAAUUGAGAGAAAUAUUAAUAUUCUGCAGAAUCUGCUAUUUCUAGGACACUAAUCAAAUGUAAGACUACACAAUUUGUGAUUAAAAUGUUUUUUUUUUUUUUUUUUUCUUUUGAAACGCUUUACAUUUAAUGUCUCAUUUGUUAACAUAAUUUAAUGCAUUUCCUAACA